GUGCCAGCAGCCGCGGUAAUACCGGCAGCCCGAGUGAUGGCCGAUCUUAUUGGGCCUAAAGCGUCCGUAGCUGGCUGCGCAAGUCCGUCGGGAAAUCCACUCGCCCAACGAGUGGGCGUCCGACGGAAACUGCACAGCUUGGGACCGGAAGGCUCGAAGGGUACGUUCGGGGUAGGAGUGAAAUCCCAUAAUCCCGCACGGACCACCGAUGGCGAAAGCACUUCGAGAAAACGGAUCCGACAGUGAGGGACGAAAGCUAAGAUCGCGAACCAGAUUAGAUACCCUAGUAGUCC
rnacentral:rRNA from 1 species